rnacentral:lncRNA from 1 species
UAUAUAAUUGUAUAUAAGUAUAUUCUAUAUAAUCUAUAAGAGAAGUCUUUUUCUUUUAUUUUACUAUUAUAUGUUAAAUGAGACCAAAAAGACGAAAUGAGCAGAAAAUUUGUAUAUAUCAAUGGAGGAAAUAACCAUGUGGAAAACAAGACAGGAAUUCUCUACAAUUACACUGUGGAACAAUUGAAGGGAUGUGGCGCAGCUUGGUAGCGCGUUUGUUUUGGGUACAAAAUGUCACAGGUUCAAAUUGGACAUAAUCUUUGAUUUUUAUCAUGUUAUUCUAAUAUAUGCAUACAAAAUGUAUUGGGGUUAUGAAAAGAAUCCUUUUGUUUAUAGUCUUAUCUAUUCUGAUAAGAAAGCGCUCUUAGUUCAGUUCGGUAUAAUGUGGGUCUCCAAAACCCGAUGUCGUAGGUUCAAAUCCUACAUAGCGUGAUUUUUUUCUUCUUAGAUCGAAUUAGAAUAAAAUAGAUUCAUUCAGUAACUUUCACAACAAUCGGAAUUUGACCUCCUACGCCUGUGAAUUAAAGAAAGGAGGAGGUCAAUCAAAAAGAGAUGUUAGUUAAUCAAAGGUCCAACUGAUCACCACGCCUAUAUUGUAAAUAUGCAGUUACGAAUAAUCCAGCCAAAGUAAUAGGAAUUAGACAUAACAUGAUUCCAAAUAGAAAAACUUCAAUCAUUUUUAUUUGUUUGAAAGGAGAAAAAAAGAGGUAAUAUCGAUACCUAAAUAUUAAUCCGAAUUGACAUGAAUCUCAAUGACAAU